GGGUCGUUAGCUCAGUCGGUAGAGCAGCGGACUUUUAAUCCGUUGGUCACUGGUUCGAAUCCAGUACGGCCUACCA
rnacentral:tRNA from 1 species